rnacentral:rRNA from 1 species
UACGUAGGGCGCGAGCGUUGUCCGGAAUUAUUGGGCGUAAAGAGCUCGUAGGCGGUUUGUCGCGUCGGUUGUGAAAACCCAAGGCUCAACCUUGGGCCUGCAAUCGAUACGGGCAGACUAGAGUACUGCAGGGGAGACUGGAAUUCCUGGUGUAGCGGUGGAAUGCGCAGAUAUCAGGAGGAACACCGGUGGCGAAGGCGGGUCUCUGGGCCGAUACUGACGCUGAGGAGCGAAAGCGUGGGGAGCGAACAGG